UGGGGCAGCCCACCUGGAGAGGUUACUAGCACGUCACAGGCGGGGGAGGGGGUGUGGUGGUGGGGUUUCAGCAUACGGUGGUGGAAACAGGACGCCGGGGCCGUGCACCUGGAGAGGCCACUAGCACUCACGGGUAGAUGUCCGGCUCGGCGGGGACGCAGUCGAUGGCGGGGGUUGGGAGUGUGUAGGGGAGCUCGUACUCAAAGUCAAAGGUUGCAGGGUGAGGGAGGCCAUACUCACAGUCAAAGUUUGCAGGCACUAUCUGGUCGUCCAGGGGAAGCUGGUCCGGGAAAUCCACCAGGGGCUGUUGUAGUGUGUGUGUGUGUGUGUGUGGAUGUGUGUAUAUGUGUAUAUAGGUGUGUGUGUGUGUGUGUGUGUGUGUGUGUGUGUUUGUGUGUGAAGAUAAUAAUUGCAUCUAACCAGUUCUAUUUAGUGCUUGAAACAGUGUUUGCUGAAUAUACGCUGGCCCAUUGUCUGAGCUUAUCUCUGAUUGAAUUUCAAACCUUGGCAUGACUUCUCUAGUCAGAAACUUGAUUAUUGUAGCCGCACUUUGGUCUUUUGAUGGGACUGCUUCUACCCAUCUGCUGAACCUGUCAAGGAUAACUAACAUGCACAACAUGUCAACAUAGUUCAUGACCAAAUGUCAAAAUGGUCCUUCAGGUGUGGGAAUGUGUCCCAAUGUAGCAGUGAUUGUUUUUAUUAUAUUGUGUUUUGCACAUAAUUCAUACUCAUUUAGUUGGUCAUCAAUCAUUUUUUGCAAUUAUGGUGAAGAAAAAACCUUGUUUUCUAAUUCUCCUCAACACUCCUCAACACCUCCCCCCUUGCGCAAUGGUCAAAACCAUGCACACUUAAAUGAUAAGCAAACCUAACGACGCCGUUGGUGGAACCAACGUUGGAACUCCUAACCUUAACCAUCCGUAAAAUAAAACCAAUCUAUUGGGAAGGGAAAUCGAAGCCAGUAUAUCCAAAACCAAAGGUUGAUAUUGGUGGGUUUUACCAUCAGCCGCCCUGAAACCACGCCGUUACCAAGUCAUGCACUAAACCGAAAAGAUUUCAUGGGUCAGCAGGCCUUCAUGCCUCAACUGUCAAAUAAAACGCAACAUGCCCUGUCCCAAUACCACCACCUCUGCUGCUGGGGCUGCCAUAUCUGACUCCUGUUCCCCCUCCACCUUUGACCCUCCGGCUCUUCCUAUGAUGGUUGCAGUAUGUCACUUCAUCAUCAAGUGAGCCAGUGCUCACAGUGACUGCCAAGUAAUCGUGACUGUGCCUGUUUAGGUUGUCCCGGUCUUCAAGGUGGGAUCUUACCCGUCGUUGGCUAACCAGCCUUCCAUACUGGCUUAGUGCAGGAUGCCGUGCCUGGGAUACAAUCAAUCCCCACCCAUAAGGUGGUUUUGACCGCAAAGUGGAGGGAUGGAGACAGAGUCUUCAAUCACAAUUGCCCAUGCAGCCAAGGCUGUAAUGGACACACCAGACCAGUUACAACAACUAAAAUUUGACCCUGUGUGUGGGGGAUAUAUGAUGGGGUGAAUCUAAAGGUAAUUCAUCAGAGCUAAAAGUAUCAUAUUAUCAAAUGUUAAUAUUCUAUAAAAGUGUUGCAGCAGCAGUCAUGGCAUUUGAAAGGUAAACCCACCACUUCUGAAUGUAAAUUGAGACCUAGCAUGUAGGAUCCCUUCCCAGCAGAUGUAGCGUUAAUCCACCUACUGUCCUUAACUAAGGAGAUGUGAAAAUAAAACAAAAAAUCACAAUAUUAAAACUUGCAUUUUCAAUAUUAGGCGAUUCACUUCUGUGUUAACCGUUACUCAUUAUCAUAAUUCCCUUUAUAAUUCCACCCGAUUGUCCUAUACUCGCUAUUUAAAUUGGGCGAUCUAAUCGUAUUAUAUUCUACCUGUUGUUUGCAUGUUUUGUCUGAAGUAAGCUUUUGGUACCCCUUCGUGUAUUCCAUCACACUAAGUAGGAGAGCAUUCUCCCCUGCCUCUGUGGCCCUAACACACACACGAGAGCAGGCUCAAACACACACCCUUUUUUAUUAUAUUUUACUUAUUUAAUUUUAUAAAAUGAAUUCAUAAACUUGAAUAAUAUUUGAACGUACUCAUUUAGUCUAAUUUUUAAGUAUUUGGUUAUUA
ensembl:lncRNA